AUUGAACGCUGGCGGCAUGCCUUACACAUGCAAGUCGAACGCGAAAGUGGGGGCAACCCUGCGAGUAGAGUGGCGAACGGGUGAGUAACACAUCGGAACGUACCCAGGAGUGGGGGACAACCUCGAGAAAUCGAGGCUAAUACCGCAUACGUCCUGAGGGAGAAAGCGGGGGAUCCGUAAGGACCUCGCGCUCAUGGAGCGGCCGAUGUCGGAUUAGCUAGUUGGCGGGGUAAGAGCCCACCAAGUCUACGAUCCGUAGCUGGUUUGAGAGAACGACCAGCCACACUGGGACUGAGACACGGCCCAGACUCCUACGGGUGGCUG
rnacentral:rRNA from 1 species